rnacentral:rRNA from 1 species
GACGAACGCUGGCGGCGUGCCUAAUACAUGCAAGUCGAGCGAGACUCUUCGGAGUCUAGCGGCGGACGGGUGAGUAACACGUGGGCAACCUGCCUGUAAGACUGGGAUAACACCGGGAAACCGGUGCUAAUACCGGAUAAUCCUUUUCCUCUCAUGAGGAAACGCUGAAAGUCGGUUUCGGCUGACACUUAAAGAUGGGCCCGCGGCGCAUUAGCUAGUUGGUGAGGUAACGGCUCACCAAGGCGACGAUGCGUAGCCGACCGGAGAGGGUGAUAGGCCACACCGGGACUGAGACACUGCCCGGACUCCUACGGGAGGCAGCAGUAGGGAAUCUUCCACAAUGGACGAAAGUCUGAUGGAGCAACGCCGCGUGAGCGAUGAAGGCCUUCGGGUCGUAAAGCUCUGUUGUUAGGGAAGAACAAGUAUCGGAGUAACUGCCGGUACCUUGACGGUACCUAACCAGAAAGCCACGGCUAACUACGUGCCAGCCGCCGCGGUAAAAC